CCGACGGUGAGGGGUGAAAGCUGGGGGAGCAAACCGGAUUAGAUACCCGGGUAGUCCCAGCUGUAAACGAUGCAAACUCGAUGAUGCGUUGGCUUGUUGCUAGCGCAGUGUCGCAGGGAAGCCGUUAAGUUUGCCGCCUGGGAAGUACGUACGCAAGUAUGAAACUUAAAGGAAUUGGCGGGGGAGCACCACAAGGGGUGAAGCCUGCGGUUCAAUUGGAGUCAACGCCUGAAACCUUACCCGGAGAGACAGCAGAAUGAAGGUCAAGCUGAAGACUUUACCAGACAAGCUGAGAGGUGGUGCAUGGCCGUCGCCAGCUCGUGCCGUGAGAUGUCCUGUUAAGUCAGGUAACGAGCGAGAUCCCUGCCUCUAGUUGCCACUAUUACACCCUGGUGUAGUAGGGCGAAUUAGGGGGACCGCCGCAGUUAAUGCGGAGGAAGGAAGGGGCCACGGCAGGUCAGUAUGCCCCGAAACUCUGGGGCCACACGCGGGCUGCAAUGGUAGCGACAAUGAGUUCCAAAAUCGAAAGAUGGAGGUAAUCCCUAAACGCUACCACAGUUGUGAUUGAGGGCUGCAACUCGCCCUCAUGAACAUGGAAUCCCUAGUAACUGCGUGUCAUUAUCGCGCAGUGAAUACGUCCCUGCUCCUUGCACACACCGCCCGU
rnacentral:rRNA from 1 species